rnacentral:misc_RNA from 1 species
UCCGGUUUGUCACCGGCAGUCUCCUAUGAGUCCCCGCCAUAACGCGCUGGCAACAUAGGACAGGGGUUGCGCUCGUUGAAGGACUUAACCUAACAUCUCACGACACGAGCUGACGACGGCCAUGCAUCACCUGUCACUUGGUUCCUUGCGGCACAGUAUCCUUUCGGAUGCCUUCCAAGGAUGUCAAGCCUGGGUAAGGUUCUUCGCUUACCAUCGAAUUAAACAACACGCUCCACCGCUCGUGCGGGUCCCCGUCAAUUCCUUUAUGUUUUAGUCUUGCGACCGUACUCCACAGGCGGGAUGCUUAACGCGUUAGCUUCGCUACAAGCCGGGUCGAUACGGCUUACAGCUAGCAUCCAUAGUUUACGGCGUGGACUAC